rnacentral:lncRNA from 1 species
UGCCUCACCGCCUUUGUGGUAAUAAGGUAGAUAUAAAUAAAUAAAUUGAUUUUUGAGAAAAUGAGGCCAACUCACUAAAUAUGUAAUUUAUAUGUAUAUACACACAUGCAUACAGCUACAAAAACUAUCACUGAAUACCAAUAACUAAAUAUGGCUUGUCCAUGUGGAUACUGUGCCUAAGUGUCUUAUCAAACAAUAGAUCAUAGAAGAAAAAUUGAAAGUAGAGUGCUUUUUGAGUAAAAGAGGGUUAGACAUUAGGACACUACCUUAUAUCUUUGAAUACCUUAUAUCUCUUUGUGUCUUUGAAGAUUUGUUUUUGUAUUAUACUAUUAAUGAAAGAGUAGAACAGAAAGGGGAAUAUGAUCGAAGUUUAUUCUUCCUUGCUCAGAGUGAGGAAAUAGCAGCUUUCAAAAGGUAAAAGCCAAAGAAUCUGAAAGGGGUGGAACAAAAAAGAUUGAUGAUUGGAAUAAAUGGAGAUUUCCUCAAUUUUUUAUUCAGCAGAUAUUUACCAAUGGCCUUUUAUGAACCGUACCCUAAAAGCUUCACAAAGGAAAAGUGAAUAGGCAGAGGAGAAUUUGAUGUUUUUAAAAGACAUAUAUGACCUGAUGUGGAAUUAAUAUACCAGUAUGUGAAAUAUCCAGGAAGAGAAUGCUUGAUGGAGUUAUUGUGAUGAUCACACCUGGAAUUAAGGCAUCAUGGAGGAGCUAACUGGAAUGAGACAGAAGAACUACAAUGGGCACAAUACAGUAUAUAUUGUGAUGAAGGAGGAAGCACACAUUUAUUUUUGGAGCAAGUUGCUGCUGCCAGGGUGAAGAAGCACUGCUGGGGUGAUGCCCAUAGGAACAUGACGCCGACAGGACAGGCAAGUCCCUUCCACUCUACAGCUUCCCUUAGUGCCCCCUGUUGGCAGAGUGUAACAAAGCAGUUGGCAAGGUGGUUCUCAGAAUUCCUGCCCCAUCACAAAGCCCAGCACAGAAGGGUGGGUCUGAAGCAGCACGUGUAGCUUGAUGAUUGGAACAAAAAACAGAGGCUCAGGAAAACAGUUUCAUUAUCUUCCCCCAUAACAGUUCAGUAGAGUUUUAUGCUUAACAGAAGGAAAGACAGAUUUUAAUAUUGGUUUUGGAGGAAGGGACUUGAACAAGUUACAUUUCACUGAUUUCUGCGAAUUCGUUUAAAAUUUAAACUACAGAAUACAUUGGAAAGAAAUAUAGCUUUAGAAUCUCCAAGUACAUACAGAACUGCUUUACUUAGGCAUUACAUAAAUACAAAUGCAUAUUAAUUACCCUGUUCAGUGAGGUAGAAAAAAGACAAUUAAUUGUUUAGCUGCUGAAGAUUCUUUAUUAUUAGGACAGAAGGACAAUUAGCUUUAAAAGCAUUGCUCAGAACAUGUAUUUUUUUCCCCCAAAUGUUGCUUUUUUUUUUUUUCCAAAACAGAACAAACCAAACCCUUUCCCACAAGAACUGCAUUGUGAAGAAAGCAAAUGCUAAGUAGGAAUUAGAAAAAAGAAAACAUGCCCAAAGCCCAUGGGAAUGACAAUUCCUGGUUAACUGUAAGAAACGGGGAAUGUAAUUGAGACAGAUGACCAGAUUUAGGAAAAAUAAACCUCACCAUUAAAAUCUAAUUAAAUAUUUGCAUUUCAGCAUUAAGUUUCUUCUCAAAAGUUUUGUGAGCAGCGGGGUGACAGUGAAGAUUAUUGACUAUAAUUUGCUGAAGUUUUUUAAACUAAAUUAGUUUUGUGCAAUGUAUGGAAGGUUUACUCAGCUGCGCUUAUCCAGCGGCUGCUUUAUUAUUCUUUUAAAGUGAAUCAUUUAUAACUGUUCUCAGAGAUCUUUUAUCAGCCACUUAUCUCCUUCAACUGGACUUGUGAUGCCAAGGGAUAAAAUGAAUUGCCGGCUAAUAUUGUGAGAAUUAAUCAGACCACAACAGCAGGAGAGUAAUGACUUAACUUACAGUCAGAUAUUUGCAUUUGGCAGUAAAAUCACAACAAAAAUAUAAGAAUGUUUAAUCUUUUGCUUUGACUGGAGCACAGGAACACAUUGGCAAUACAAAAGAAAUACAAUAAUCAUGUGUUUUAAUUUUGGGUAUUUACCUGAUCUGAGGGAUUUAUUUAUUCUAGGAAGAAAGCUCUUAUUUGAUGUGAAGAUUUUUUUUUUCUUUCAUUUUGCAGUACCUUAUAUUGGUCUUGUUUCCUGAGGGUUUUUUUUUUUUUUUCUGUUAGAGAUCUUUGGACAGAUGAAGUGAGACUUUUGCCCCUCAUCUCACCUUUCUCCAAAAUAUGCUGGUUCUGUUAUCUUUGUUUCCUUUCUGUCCCUUGGCCCCAUGGUAAGUUAGAAGAAAGGAGUGGUACAACCAAGACCAAGGGUGGCAAUGUUACUGCUGCUGUUCUGUUGAAAUGAUUUCAUUCGCUGCUUGUUCUCUUUUCUUAGACUCUGGCAUUUUCAAAAAAUAGGAUUAGGUUCUUAGUUGCUAUAUAAACACUAAAGAAGGCAUGCAAUGAGAAAUUAUUUCCUGAUUUGAG